rnacentral:rRNA from 1 species
CGUGUAGGCGGUUUCGUAAGUCGGAUGUGAAAGCUCCUGGCUCAACUGGGAGAGGCCAUUCGAUACUGCGAGACUUGAGGACGGGAGAGGGACGUGGAAUUCCCGGUGUAGUGGUGGAAUGCGUAGAUAUCGGGAGGAACACCAGUGGCGAAGGCGACGUCCUGGCCCGCACCUGACGCUAAGACGCGAAAGCGUGGGUAGCGAACG